rnacentral:rRNA from 1 species
GAUGAACGCUGGCGGCGUGCUUAACACAUGCAAGUCGAACGGAAAGGCCCAAGCUUGCUUGGGUACUCGAGUGGCGAACGGGUGAGUAACACGUGGGUGAUCUGCCCUGCACUUCGGGAUAAGCCUGGGAAACUGGGUCUAAUACCGGAUAGGACCACUUCUUGGAUGUUGUGGUGGAAAGUUUUUUCGGUGUGCGAUUAGCUCGCGGCCUAUCAGCUUGUUGGUGGGGUAAUGGCUUACCAAGGCGUCGCCGGGUAGCCGGCCUGAGAGGGUGUACGGCGACAUUGGGACUGAGGUACGGCCCAGGCUCCUACGGGAGGCAGCAGUGGGGAAUAUUGCACAAUGGGCGCAAGCCUGAUGCAGCGACGCCGCGUGGGGGAUGACGGCCUUCGGGUUGUAAACUCCUUUCGCUAGGGACGAAGCGUUUUGUGACGGUACCUGGAGAAGAAGCACCGGCUAACUACGUG